rnacentral:rRNA from 1 species
UACGGAGGGUGCAAACGUUGCUCGGAAUUAUUGGGCGUAAAGCGCACGUAGGCGGCCGAAUAAGUCGGGUGUGAAAGCCCUGGGCUCAACCCAGGAAGUGCACUCGAAACUGCUCGGCUUGAGUAUGGAAGAGGGUUGCGGAAUUCCCGGUGUAGAGGUGAAAUUCGUAGAUAUCGGGAGGAACACCCGUGGCGCAGGCGGCCCCCUGGGCCGGGCCUGACGCUGAGACGCGAAAGCGUGGGGAGCGAACGGG